UUGUUGGUAAGGUAAAAGCUUACCAAGGCUUCGAUCAGUAGCUGGUCUGAGAGGACGACCAGCCACACUGGGACUGAGACACGGCCCAGACUCCUACGGGAGGCAGCAGUGGGGAAUUUUGGACAAUGGGGGCAACCCUGAUCCAGCCAUGCCGCGUGAGUGAAGAAGGCYUUCGGGUUGUAAAGCUCUUUCAGCCGGAACGAAACGGUUACGGUUAAUACCCGUGACUACUGACGGUACCGGAAGAAGAAGCACCGGCUAACUACGUGCCAGCAGCCGCGGUAAUACGUAGGGUGCGAGCGUUAAUCGGAAUUACUGGGCGUAAAGCGUGCGCAGGUGGUUUUGUAAGUCAGAUGUGAAAGCCCCGGGCUCAACCUGGGAACUGCGUUUGAAACUACAAGACUAGAGUGUGGCAGAGGGGGGUGGAAUUCCGCGUGUAGCAGUGAAAUGCGUAGAGAUGUGGAGGAACACCGAUGGCGAAGGCAGCCCCCUGGGUCAACACUGACGCUCAGGCACGAAAGCAUGGGGAGCAAACAGGAUUAGAUACCCUGGUAGUCCAUGCCCUAAACGAUGUCAACUAGUUGUCGGGCCUUUACGGGCUUGGUAACGUAGCUAACGCGUGAAGUUGACCGCCUGGGGAGUACGAUCGCAAGAUUAAAACUCAAAUGAAUUGACGGGGACCCGCACAAGCGGUGGAUUAUGUGGAUUAAUUCGAUGCAACGCGAAAAACCUUACCUACCCUUGACAUGUAUCGAAGCCCGCAGAAAAGCGGGGGUGCCCGAAAGGGAACGAUAACACAGGUGCUGCAUGGCUGUCGUCAGCUCGUGUCGUGAGAUGUUGGGUUAAGUCCCGCAACGAGCGCAACCCUUGUCAUUAAUUGCCAUCAUUUAGUUGGGCACUUUAAUGAGACUGCCGG
rnacentral:rRNA from 1 species